rnacentral:rRNA from 1 species
UACGUAGGUGACAAGCGUUGUCCGGAUUUACUGGGCGUAAAGAGCGCGCAGGCGGUCGUUCAAGUCGAGUGUGAAAGCCCCCGGCUCAACUGGGGAGGGUCAUUCGAUACUGAUCGACUCGAAGGCAGGAGAGGGAAGUGGAAUUCCCGGUGUAGUGGUGAAAUGCGUAGAUAGUCGGGAGGAACACCAGUGGCGAAGGCGACUUCCUGGCCUGUUCUUGACGCUGAGGCGCGAAAGCUAGGGGAGCAACGGG